CCUGGGAACUGCGUUNUGAACUGGGUGACUAGAGUGUGUCAGAGGGAGGUAGAAUUCCACGUGUAGCAGUGAAAUGCGUAGAGAUGUGGAGGAAUACCGAUGGCGAAGGCAGCCUCCUGGGAUAACACUGACGUUCAUGCCCGAAAGCGUGGGUAGCAAACAGGAUUAGAUACCCUGGUAGUCCACGCCCUAAACGAUGUCGAUUAGCUGUUGGGCAGCAUGACUGCUUAGUAGCGAAGCUAACGCGUGAAAUCGACCGCCUGGGGAGUACGGUCGCAAGAUUAAAACUCAAAGGAAUUGACGGGGACCCGCACAAGCGGUGGAUGAUGUAGAUUAAUUCGAUGCAACGCGAAGAACCUUACCUGGUCUUGACAUGUACGGAACCCUCCAGAGACGGAGGAGUGCCUUCGGGAGCCGUAACACAGGUGCUGCAUGGCUGUCGUCAGCUCGUGUCGUGAGAUGUUGGGUUAAGUCCCGCAACGAGCGCAACCCUUGUCAUUAGUUGCCAUCAUUAAGUUGGGCACUCUAAUGAGACUGCCGGUGACAAGCCGGAGGAAGGUGGGGAUGGCGUCAAGUCCUCAUGGCCCUUAUGACCAGGGCUUCACACGUCAUACAAUGGUCGGUACAGAGGGUAGCCAAGCCGCGAGGCGGAGCCAAUCUCACAAAACCGAUCGUAGUCCGGAUUGCACUCUGCAACUCGAGUGCAUGAAGUCGGAAUCGCUAGUAAUCGCAGGUCAGCAUACUGCGGUGAAUACGUUCCCGGGUCUUGUACACACCGCCCGUCACACCAUGGGAGUGGGGGAUACCAGAAG
rnacentral:rRNA from 1 species